AUGAACGUUCCAUCUGUUAAUGCUCAGAUGACCAUUACCGCAUGGAGGUCUCAGGAGGUUCCACAUAAGCUCGAGCUUCAGCAGAUUUGGCACCAUGUCGAGGGGGUUCCCCAUACGGUUCGUCAUUUUUGGGGCUUAUGGGCUGUUGGUACUUUGAUGGGCAAGACAUUGGAUGUCGAUCUUCUUAGCCUGCGUCGUCGUGGUGUUGUACGUAUUCUCGUGGCUAUGACCAACUCUCAGAUAUUGUCAAAGGAGAACGACGAUGCUGGUCCUUUUGCUGCAACAGAUGUGGUGGUUAAGCUCAAGGGCUACACUUUCUCGUUCAGAAGGGAGCCGGCGGGUUACAUUCCGGACCCUGAUUUUGUCCCGUUCGUUUGGAGACGCAAGGGUGAUGAUGCUGAUGAUGAUAGUGCCGCCAAGGAAAAGGACAAUGAGAUGGACACAUCGGAAUACACCGGGAACCCAUCCAACCAUCCGUCGUCUAGUUCUGCUCCGGCGAAUAACACUAAUGUGACUCAAGUUCAACAACGGGAGCUGCAGACUGUUGGCUCUGGUGGUGCGACGGGAGGUGGUCCUGUGUUGUUGGGAGUCACUUCGUUUAACUCUGCGCCACAGACGCCGAGAGGCAUGGAGCUUGCCGCGGAUCUUAGAGUCAAUUCCACGUUACCUGGAUGUCUCGAAAGAUCCCCUCGGGUUCACCGACAGGAGUUGUCCUCGCCUUCUACACUGCAGGCUGUGGUUGCAUCGCAGCCGUCGUCGCAUUCCCGGCCUGCAUCGUCCCAGUCCGCUGCCCUCCUGUCGGAGCAAGUCACCGGCGGCUCGGCGGGGCGCCCGGACUAUUCUGCAGUACACCUACAACCAGCUGCUAAGGUGGCGUCGCAGCCGCCGUCGUCGACGCGGACAACAACGUCUAAGCCGGCUGUUCCCGAACCGGUGCAGGCUGCCGAUGGUACAGCGCAUGCGGGGUGCCGGCAUCCUGUGGCUACGGUUGAGGCCAAUUGGCAUGCAGCUUAUGUGGACAUACCUAUGCAUGCACGUACCGGGGAAGUGGAGCUACCCAUGCAUGCAUGGAGUGAACCUGGACGUGAAGGGCUACCCCCAAGUGUGCAGCCGUGCAUAGCUGCACCCGCGGCUGCCCUUCGGUCUCUGUCCGCGCCGGACGAGUCUGCGGAGCCGGACGUGUCUGCCUCAUCCAUGCACGAUCCUCCAGUCAGGCUAUCUUCGGAAGUGCCGCCGCGUGUUACGACGGCCGAGACUGCCGGGGAGGUGGUUGCUACUACACCCACAUCCCCCCCUUCAGCGGCGGUGCUUGCGCGACACCCUUCACCAAGAAUGACACCUACACGCUGA
rnacentral:rRNA from 1 species